rnacentral:rRNA from 1 species
CGCUGGCGGCGUGCUUAACACAUGCGAGUCGAACGGGGAACAUUUUAUUGAAGCUUCGGCAGAUUUAGCUUGUUCCUAGUGGCGGACGGGUGAGUAACGCGUGGGUAACCUGCCUCGCACUGGGGGAUAACAGUCAGAAAUGGCUGCUAAUACCGCAUAAGCGCACGGUACCGCAUGGUACGGUGUGAAAAACUCCGGUGGUGUGAGAUGGACCCGCGUUGGAUUAGCUGGUUGGCAGGGCAGCGGCCUACCAAGGCGACGAUCCAUAGCCGGCCUGAGAGGGUGAACGGUCACAUUGGGACUGAGACACGGCCCAGACUCCUACGGGAGGCAGCCGUGGGGAAUAUUGCACAAUGGGGGAAACCCUGAUGCAGCGACGCCGCGUGAAGGAAGAAGUAUCUCGGUAUGUAAACUUCUAUCAGCAGGGAAGAAAAUGACGGUACCUGACUAAGAAACACCGGCUAAAUACGUGCCAGCAGCCGCGGUAAUACGUAUGGUGCAAGCGUUAUCCGGAUUUACUGGGUGUAAAGGGAGCGCAUGCGGUGCGGCAAGUCUGAUGUGAAAGCCCGGGGCUCAACCCCGGUACUGCAUUGGAAACUGUCGUACUAGAGUGUCGGAGGGGGAAGCGGAAUUCCUAGUGUAGCGGUGAAAAUGUGGUAGGUUAUUAGGGGGAACACCAGGUGGGCGAAGGUGGGUUUUGUGGACGAUAAACUGCCGUUGAGGGCUGAAAUGCGUGGGGAGCCAACAGGGAUUAGAUUCCCUGGUAGUCCUCGCGGUAAUACGAUGAAUAUUUGGUGUUGGGAAGCAUUGCUUCUCGGUGCCGGUAGCUAAGGCAGUAAGUAUUCCAUCUGGGGGAGUAUGUUGGCAAGGAAUGAAACUCAAAGGAAUUGACGGGGAUCCGCUCAAGCGGUGGAGCAUGUGGUUUAAUUAGAAGCAACGCGAAGAACCUUAUCAAGUCUUGACAUCCUUCUGACCGGUAGUUAACCGUACCUUCUCUUCGGAGCAGGAGUGACAGGUGGUGCAUGGUUUUCGUCAGUUUGUGAUAGUGAGAUGUUGGGCUAAGCCUCGCACCGAGUGCAUCCUUUAUGUUUAGUAGCCAGCGGUCUGGCCGGGCACUCUAGAGAGAUUGCCAGGGAUAACCUGGAGGAAGGCGGGGAUGAUGUCAAAUCAUCAUGCCCGUUAUGUCUUGGGCUACACACGUGCUACAAUGGUGUAAACAAAGGGAAGCAAAGCUGUGAAGCGGAGCAAAUCUCAAAAAUAACGUGUCAGUUUGGACUGUAGUGUGCAACCGGACUACAGGAAGCUGGAAUCGCUAGUAAUCGUAGAUCAGAAUGCUGCGGUGAAUGCGUUCCCGGGUCUUGUACACUCCGCCCGUCACACCAUGGGUGUUGGGAAUGCC